GAUGAACGCUGGCGGCGUGCCUAAUACAUGCAAGUCGAGCGAACAGACGAGGAGCUUGCUCCUCUGACGUUAGCGGCGGACGGGUGAGUAACACGUGGCUAACCUACCUAUAAGACUGGGAUAAAUUAGGGAAACCGGAGCUAAUACCGGAUAAUAUAUUGAACCGCAUGGUUCAAUAGUGAAAGACGGUUUUGCUGUCACUUAUAGAUGGAUCCGCGCCGCAUUAGCUAGUUGGUAAGGUAGCGGCUUACCAAGGCAACGAUGCGUAGCCGAGCCGAGAGGGUGAUCGGCCACACUGGGACUGAGACACGGUCCAGACUCCUACGGGAGGCAGCAGUAGGGAAGCUUCCGCAAUGGGCGAAAGCCUGACGGAGCAACGCCGCGUGGGUGAUGAAGGUCUUCGGAUCGUAAAACUCUGUUAUUAGGGAAGAACAAAUGUGUAAGUAACUAUGCACGUCUUGACGGUACCUAAUCAGAAAGCCACGGCUAACUACGUG
rnacentral:rRNA from 1 species